rnacentral:rRNA from 1 species
GAUGAACGCUGGCGGCGUGCCUAAUACAUGCAAGUCGAGCGAACAGACGAGGAGCUUGCUCCUCUGACGUUAGCGGCGGACGGGUGAGUAACACGUGGAUAACCUACCUAUAAGACUGGGAUAACUUCGGGAAACCGGAGCUAAUACCGGAUAAUAUAUUGAACCGCAUGGUUCAAUAGUGAAAGACGGUUUUGCUGUCACUUAUAGAUGGAUCCGCGCUGCAUUAGCUAGUUGGUAAGGUAACGGCUUACCAAGGCAACGAUGCGUAGCCGACCUGAGAGGGUGAUCAGCCACACUGGAACUGAGACACGGUCCAGACUCCUACGGGAGGCAGCAGUAGGGAAUCUUCCGCAAUGGGCGAAAGCCUGACGGAGCAACGCCGCGUGAGUGAUGAAGGUCUUCGGAUCGUAAAACUCUGUUAUUAGGGAAGAACAAAUGUGUAAGUAACUAUGCACGUCUUGACGGUACCUAAUCAGAAAGCCACGGCUAACUACGUG